CAGAUAGAGGCGCGGUCUUCAUCAGUACCGUUCCGGCAAGGUCAGGCAACCGCCGGAUGGAAAAGGGAACAUCGCCGAAGUUGCGGAAAGCUGCCUGGCUUUUCGUAGCUGGGCCGUCAGAGAACAUCUGCCGGACUGUCACAAUACCUUUGUGAAGCGCUAUCA
rnacentral:ncRNA from 1 species